rnacentral:lncRNA from 13 species
GGAAACUAUGUGAGCCGCUACUGGGAGAAGGCAUUUAAGAAGGAUCCAAGUUCUUUCUCUUCUUGCUGGCUGGAGUUAAGAAUUCAAGAACAGAUACCAGCAAAGAGAUUCAAUACAAUUAUCCAAUUUUGAGAUAAGGAAUGGAUAGCCAUCGUAAAUAUGGAGGAAGUGUUAAACUCAUGGAAAUCUUAUUCAAGUCACAUCCUUCUUCCUGGAGACCUACCCUCAGAACUUUUAAGCUUUAUGAAACAUUUGAAGAACUCGG